UCUUUGGUCAUCUGGCUUUGUGA
rnacentral:miRNA from 1 species